rnacentral:tRNA from 1 species
GUUCUGGUAGCUUAUUUAAAGCAUUGUUCUUGUAAACCAAAGCCGGGCCCUCACCCCCAGAACA